rnacentral:rRNA from 1 species
UACGAAGGGGGCUAGCGUUGUUCGGAAUCACUGGGCGUAAAGCGCACGUAGGCGGCUUUUUAAGUCAGGGGUGAAAUCCUGGAGCUCAACUCCAGAACUGCCUUUGAUACUGAGAGGCUUGAGUCCGGGAGAGGUGAGUGGAACUGCGAGUGUAGAGGUGAAAUUCGUAGAUAUUCGCAAGAACACCAGUGGCGAAGGCGGCUCACUGGCCCGAUACUGACGCUGAGGCACGAAAGCGUGGGGAGCAAACAGG